CCUAACCCUGGAAGAGCGCCUCCCAUUACCCUCGCACUUCGUCCUGAACCCUUCGCCCUUCGCCCUUAGCCUUCGUCACUCGAAACCGCUCAUCGAAUCCGCUUAUCGCACUGUUAAUCUUCGUCACUCGCCCUUAUCCCUUCACCCUUCUUCAUCUUGUUAAUCUUCAUCUUCGUCUUCCGCUCAUCGAAUCCGCUCAUCGCACUGUCUCCUACCUCGGUGACCUUAUGGCCUCCUUCAAUUCAAAGAUCUCAAUGCAGAGAAGAGCCCUUUUCAGUGGACUUAUGCGACUCAGGUUUCUUAUGCCAUUUCUUGAAGAAUGUCACAAAACGACCGCCCGGAGGCGCCGUCCCCGGCGACAGCGGCAAACGGCUCCGCGGCGGUGAAGGAGGAGAAUCCAGCUGCGUGGGCGUUGGUUUCUUCGAGCAAGGCUGAGGCUGAAUCCGAACAAGGAGCACAAAGCGGAGGAGUACGAAGACUUGCAAUUGAUGUACUGCCCAGCGGUUUUCACCGAGCUGGAGAGGUACCUUCCACCGAACAUGCUCAAUGUGCGACGAACACAAGGUAUAUGCCCCGCGCAGCGUAGACCAGAGUAUGGUGCCUCUUUCUUUCUUUCUUUCUUUCUUUCUUUCUUUUAAGUUUUUUUAUUUUUCAGUUAAUUUUCAGUUGAGGCUGGUAAAUUGCAGAAUAGUAAACCUUAGGAUUCCUUACAACGAACAGAUUUCUCCAACUGAAAUUUGCAGUGCGCUUGGAUCUAAUCAACUUCUUCCGAGAAUUUAUAUCGCUUUUGUGUUGUUGGUCGGAAUUCUUCUGUUUAGUUCUCUUUUUGUGAACGUGUCUUUAAUCUGGUCGUGUUUGGAAGCCCCUUCUUUCACUGCAUUAGUAGCCGGUUUGCCUCUUGUUCCAGCAGUUUGCCACAUCAAUGGAAGAUUUGGAACCCUUACGACUGUUCCAAUACACCAUAUGAGCUGCUCAUGUUUAUUCGGAAGCUAGGAGGGUGCAUGCUUUCAAUGACGUUAUGUCAUCAAAUCUAAGGUUUAGUCACACAAAAUUCUAAAUCAACUGGAUAUGGGUUGCGGGGUCAGUAUGGGUGGUGGUCAACUGGAUAUAUUCUAAGAUCUAUAUA